ACUCUCGGGAGCUUGAGACCAAUCCGCGUUCUCCCCGGAUCGGGUUUCACUAUAAGAUCAGGGCAUUUUCAGCUGGUGGGGUGCAGCAGAUCCGACUGCUUGUCAAAGCCACCAAAGGAUCUCCUUUCCAUCCUUCGCGAUCUAAAGGGCCCAGCUCAAAAUGUCUGACACUGAAGAAGUGUACGAAGGUAAGUCCAUUCAGUCAUUUGUAAGCAAAAUGCGGUCAGGUGAGUUUAUAAUCU